rnacentral:rRNA from 1 species
CACGCAGGCGGACCGACAGGUCGUUUGUGAAAGGCGAGGGCUCAACCCUUGUUUGUCGGACGAAACCGUCGGACUGGAGUACCGGAGAGGGAAGUGGAAUUCCCGGUGUAGAGGUGAAAUUCGUAGAUAUUCGCAAGAACACCAGUGGCGAAGGCGACUCUCUGGACUGUAACUGACGCUGAGGCUCGAAGGCGUGGGGAGCAAACAG